rnacentral:misc_RNA from 1 species
AAGUCGUAACAAGGUUUCCGUAGGUGAACCUGCGGAAGGAUCAUUAAUGAUUUUUAAAGCGAGUCGAGCGUUUAAGCGAGGCUUUGCGAAAAUAUUUAAAACCCCACUCUUUUUAACUUUAAAAAAAUAAAUCAUGAUACAUGAAUUUAAAAAAAAGAUCACUUUCAACAACGGAUCUCUUGGCUCUC